rnacentral:lncRNA from 1 species
GUAAGCUAUUUCUGCAAAAGUAUCUAAGUUGAUUCUUGCUAAAGCCUCUCCUUGGUUCCCAAAUCCAGCAUAUCCUUGAGAGUCUUUUCUUUAGUCGGGUAAGUCUUGCUGAGUAAUUCCAUACUCAGGGUUUUAUUCCCUGUUGUUUUUCAGGAUAUAACUUUGUGCUGAUGUGAUGGUGUUAAGUGCCGGUGGGCUCAGCCUUCUUAUAUAAGUAUACCCCGUCUUUAUCUUCUUACUGAGGAUGGUCAUUUGAGCUAGCAUAUAUUUCAAACUUAUACUCUUGUAAUCACUCCGAUAAAAUAUUGUAAAAUUUUUGUAACCUGUAAAAUUUGGUAAUAAAAUUUCCGCUGCUAAAAUGCUGUGUGUGUGAUUUUUUGUUACUUAAUCCCGCGGUUCUGGUUGUAAGUGGUUUAUCCGAUGUCCUUGGGGCAAUCGGACGGAUCCUGUUAAGUUAUCUGGUGCACAUGCAUGCCGUCUGAGGUCUUUGAGAUGAGGACAGGUGCAUGUGGGCCCGAUACCUUGGGAGGUUCUGCCACAGCUGGUAUCGGAGCUGGAUUAAGUAUAUACGGUCACAUACGUAUUUUCAAAACAAAAGUUUUGGUUUUAGAAAACCUAUUUUCAACUAAACACAUUGUUUGGCUUUGAAAAACAGUUUUGCAAAACUAUAAUGCUAGCGACAUCCUCUGUUAAGCCCUAAGUUAAGGACUAUAAGGUGGCUUAGUUUAGGAUAUUAACCACUAACCCACAACUAUAAUGUAAUUUUCUGUAGGUACACUAACUAAACCUUAGGAAAGUCCGACUAGUGUUCAAUGACGGAGUGAGUAGAAUUGCCACCGCCAUAGAACGUGAUAGCCACUAUAUGUUGGCAAGAGUUGCAAGGACGUAUAGGACGAGCAUGCAUCAUGUCAUACAACUUUAAGUUAAACCCCCUGCGUAGCUAUUUAGUAUAUGUUUCAUCUACCUUGUUCAUACAUCUUUAGUGAAUAGAGUGUAUCCGUUGCUCUUCUCUAUAGAUGAAUCAACAAGAAGCUCCUACAGGAGUUGGAGAGUUUCUACGAGAUUUUGGUAUUCCAAUGGUCCUGUGGCGACUACUUCAAGAAGUUGGAUAUAUUGAAGCACCUAAGUACCAGUGGUCACGCAUUGUUCUUAGAGGACAACCAUGGUAUGAGGUAGUAGUCCGUAUUCCAGAACGUGCUAGAAAACCAUCUUGGCCACAUUAGAUGUUCCAUGCUGAAGGAAUGACUCCUUGGGAAGGUGCUCAGGUAACUGCCUUAGAGGUGUUGACAACAAUAUGUUACCAGAAGUGGGAAGAAAUACAGGCCACGUCUAUGAGGUUGUUCCCUGCAGUUGCCUUAAGCGACCCAGUGGUGUAUCAUCACCAGGCUCGAUUAAUGGAAAACAUUCCCAUUGGGCAGGAUUCGGUUGAAUCAGCAUCUGCUCGAGUUUUGAUGGCCGUGCUAGAAUUGCAGCUUACUCGAGGGCACAGUCGUCAAAUGUGGCAGCAGUUGUACACUGGGAGUUAUGCAGCAUUUAAGAUGAUGGAAAUGGCCAAGAAUAGGGCUUGUACCCAGGCACAAGAACAACUGGAGGAAACAAAGAUUCAAGCUGAGCGAAUUAUUGGAUUAGAGCAUCAGGUGACAGAACUUCAGACGCAACACCAAGUUGAUCAGCAUCGCAUUAAGGAGCUUGAGCAUCAGCUAACUAAUGCUCAUUCUAAAUCAAAAGUUUUGAGUCAGCAACAAGAAGAAAUUCGCUCGUAUGCUGUUACUGUUAGGGAAGAACUUAAAGAAACCAUGGGCUUCCUAAGUCAUCAGGAUCAGGUGCUUGAGGAGUUGCAUCGUACCUAUCCGAUGGAAUUUCAAAUAGCGCAGCGACUGGUCAACCAUCUGCAACAAACGGUGCAUAUGCUCAAUGGCGCCUUUUAUUCUGCCCCAACACCAACGGACUAAAAGGUACCUAUGGAGCAUGGAAACAAACAUCUGACAGAUGUGAUAACUGGAGAAGAUAUAGCAGGCAACUUAAUCCUCGUGAGGCAAUAUAACUAUGUAAAUUAGUUUUGAAGGGUGGAUGUAAGGUAAACCCAUAUGGCAAUGUUAGCUAGUAAAAAAAAACAGGUUAAACUUUGUUGUAAAGAGUUUAUCCCGUUUCACCUGGAUCAUGUAACCUGUGAGCUUUUCUAUGACUAUGGUGUAAGAAACAACUGCCUGUUUCAGAAGCAACUUUUAAUAUCUAUAGCCAUUUGUCGAAUCCCAAGAGUUAAAAUGGCUAUUCCUUUGGAUAUUCCCUGUGGAUGCACGUGUGUGGAUAAAUGACUUGGUACACGCUGGUACCAUAGUUUCUGGUUGUGUUUCGUGAUGAAAUGGUACCACCGUGAUUUUCCAUGUGAGUCUGUUGAACGAGAAAUGGACAAAUGGAUAGACUUUAUCCAAAACAAAUUAGAUGCAACAUCUUGGGUAAAACACACAGAAAGAGAUUCAUCGCUGAGUCAUCAUUGGAAAUCCGUAGCAUCGGAGACAAGUGCAAAUGUUGAACGACAUCGUGGUUGACUCGUGGUUAAGCGAGACAGAACACCUCCCCUGCCUGGUAGGAUAAAUUGGGAAAUAAGUUUGUGACACAUUUCCUUUUCCGUUACAGAGCCUGAACUCUUAAAUCUCGGGACGAGAUUUCUUUUAGGGGGGAAAGCUGUAACACCCCUGGUGUUACGUAAACUAAAACUCUGACAUGUCAUCAUAAGCAUCUGCAUUAAAGUGCUUGUUACGCCUAGAAUGCAUUUACUAGGUUAAAACUUUACAAAAAGUGUGAUGUUGUGUGUUGAGUAGUGGACUUAGUUAAGGACCUGGUUUAAGCAAAAUGAGGGAAGAUCAUCUCUUGAGCAAGUAACAAAUUGGCUUGGAGUCUUAAAUGUUAAAGGUAAGUCUUAGAGCCUAGAGUAGCCUUGUUUUCGAAUGAUGGUCAAGUGGAAGAAGCGCUUAAGAAGCUGGAAUAACUCCAAACCUUAACUUGAGCUUUGCUUGGAAUAGAUGGUUAAGUAAAGGAAAUUCUAAACCAGGACAUUUUGGAUAUGAGAUAUGUGUAUCAAAGAUUGGAUCUUGAGCUAGAGAGUAACUUUGCUCUAGGUGGAGGGAUCAAAGGGAUGAAUCCCUAGAAGAAGCUGAAACACAAAUGAAACUCAUUUGAAACCCUAAAACUAGCCCAAAAGGGAAAUUCAAAAUCUAGAAGGAUUUAGCUAAAAGUCUAUAUACCAAAAUGGUAGAGCUUGGAAAAGUGAAUAAGUUUCUUAUUUGGAGGAUUCCAUGUUGUGUGGAGAAAUUUGGAGUAAUUUGCAUAAAUUCAGUUUUGGGUUCAGUUUGAAUUGGGCUGAAAACAGUUUCAUAUAGCUGUUUUUGGACACUUAUAACUUUUGAUCUAUGGACUUUUGGUAAGGAGUUGCUAUAACAAACUUGUAAAGUGACUGUUGGAGAACAAUACUUAUUAAGUGUACGAGCCCUAAAACUAUAUGCAACUAGUUGAAAAAGUGGUCCAAAUUAGAGCUGUCAGAUUUUGUAUAUUUCAGACAGUGAAAUUCAGGGUCUGAAUUUCAGUAUUUUGUGCAAACUUUGGGCUAGUGUAGUUUGGAAUCCAAGAGGUUUUGGUUAUUCGUCACUAUACCAAACUUGUAGAGGAACUAUAGGAGUAUAAACUUUAUUAAGCAAUUGUCCCUUAGAAACAUUUGGAACCCAGGAAAAAGAGUGAUUUAAAGUGGUGCUUCUGUGUUUCUGAAUUUUCAGAUUGGAAAUAGUAGCUGAAUUUCAGUGUGGAUAGCAGUUUUGGAGCUGGUUUGUGGCUGUUCUGUAAUGUUUUGUGCUGGGAUGUUUAUAGAGAAGUUGAAGCCUAUAUGAUAGUGAACAAAUCUACUAAAGUGUCUUUGACUUGAUUCCACACAGAAAAUGGAGAAAAGCUUGCUCAAGGUUGGACUGACAGAUAGUACGUUAACUGCAUUUGGUUCAGUUCUGAAAUCUGAAAAUUGCUGUAUGGUGCCAAGUUUGGAGCCCUUUUGUGGUUGUUCUAUAAGGUUUUGGACUGAGGUUUUUGUAGUGGAAGUGAAGACCACCUAAUGGUGAACAACUUUAUUAAAGGAUCAUGGACAUGGUCCCACAUAAAAAGCGGUGUAACAGCUGCUCAAAAUUUGACUCUCAGGUGGCUAGUGACUUAGUUUAUUCAGAAUUUAAAGUCUGAAAUCAGUACGUGAUGCAAAGUUUAGAGCCAUAUUGCGACCAACUCUUGUUGUUUUGGACUAUGAACUAUGUGGCAAAGUUGGAGUCCAUAGUACAGAGAAUAAGUUUUAUCAAUAGGGCUGUACUCGGUUCUACAAAAAAAUGGGAGUAAAACACCUCUAAACUUCCUCUGUUAGAAUCUGUGUAAUGCUGUUUCAGACCUCUGAAACUGAAUUUUCGGUGUUUUUCUUUAGAUUUUGGAGCUUCCUUGUGAUUGAUCCAAGGGGUUUAAGCCUAAGGUCCCUGUGGAGAAGUGGUAGAGAGUCAUUUGGUCGACAAGUUUUGUUAAACUUGCUUCCCCUGUUGCCAUGGAAAACUGAGAGUUUGCAGGGGGUCAACAGGGAGGUGUGCAGAUGAAACAGUAGGCUCAUGCAGUUGAGUUCAGUGUGGUAUAUGGAAUCUGAAGAAGAUCAGUUGCUUUCUGCUAGUGCCACUCGAGUGUGGGAUGGAGAUAAGAUUGAGAUACAUCACUAAAGGUCUAGAGACCCCUCCCCACUAAAAAUUAUCCAAGUAAUUCUGCAUUGUUUUGGGAAACAACAUGCAGUCAAGACCUUAUCUGUUGGUUAUUUGAUGAAGUAAACUGCACCACAAAGGUUCUAGUGGCUACCCUAGCAGAAAUAUCAAGUCUUGGACCUCUUUGUGUUUAGCCACAAGUGGUGUUCUCAGCCACACGUCUGCCUAUCUGUGUUCACUGAAAUAGGUUGAUAUUUUGGGCUAUUAGAGCAUAUCCACAAGGGAUAUUUGUGUGCUAGUUGACCAGGUUCAAUGUUUAAAUUGGGGCUGGGUGCUGGUGUUGUAUGAGGGCAUGUGAGCCACGUAGGCUAGCUGAUAUGUUGCUGGCACCAUGGGAGGACACCUUAGCUGCAUGUCAAACAUGUCAGGAACACCUUGCCCCAUAUUCAAGUAUUUAUAGGGCAUGAUCCAGUAAAGAAUACUCCUUGCCCUCGAGCUCUAACCAAUAACCACUGCAAGGGUGAAGUUGUUCUGGUGUUCCAGCCAGUGUUAAUCCUCUCCCUUACUGCAGAGUUAAGUUGUUCCUGAGCUGAGUGUCAACCUCCUGUGUGGUGACCAGGGUCAUCCAAGUGCCCACCUCGCCGCGGUCAAGCAAUCACAAGCGAUUCCCCAGCUGUACAGUGCAUGUUUCGUGUUCUCCUUAGGUCAUUGAAGCUCACACCAUUUACUGCUUGAACUCUACCACUAUUGGUUGCCUGGAACUAGGUGUGAAAUUUGCUCAAACAUAGGCUGUCAGGUUUCUGGAUCCCAGACUUAGUGCAUAAGGCUGAAACUAGGUUUUAGUGUGUUCAGCUCCAUUUUGGUGCUUCAUAAAAAUUGUUCUGAAUGUUUUCAACCUAGGGGUACUAUACCAAAGUAGUAGAGCUAUAUCUAAGGAAUAACUUUGGUUAUGUGAGCUUGGUCUGUUGCUUUGUAAAAAUUGGAGAAAAGGGUUGGCUAAAGUUUGUCUGUCAGGCUGGACACAUAACUGAAUUUUUAUUCAGUUCUGAAAACUGAAUUGCAGCAGGAUGCCUAGUUUGGAAUUCAUUUGUGACUGAUUCAUGGGGUAUUGGAUUAAAGUUUCCAUAGCAAAGCUGGAGACCAUAGUAAAGAUAGCAAGUUUUAUAAAGUGAGGUGGACUUGGUUCCACAUAAUUUUGGAAGUAAAAGUGGCCAAAAGGUGGACUGUCAGGUGUUAGGAUUCAGACUUAGAAUAAUAUUUAAGUCUGAAUUUGUGUGUUUUUAUUCAAUUUGGGUCCUUGUGGUAAUUAAUCCAAGAAGAAUUGGGGUAGGAAUGUUAUAGCAAAGUGAAAGACCAUGUUAUAAGGAACAAAUCCCUUUAAGCAAGUUAGGCUUGAAUCCACAUAAAGUAGGAAAUAACAGCUGUCCAAACCUGGACUGCCAGAGUGAUUGUGACUGAAUUUUAUUCAGCUUAGUGCUUUGGAAAGGAGAUAAGUUUAUCUAGGGAAGAUAUAAAGUUGCUUAAGAAGUUUUAAGUUGCUUAAGAAGUUUUAAGCUUUUGGAUGAGAUAUAAGUUGGAUUAAUUCCCUGGUUUACCUAAGUGAAUUCAAAUUGGUCACUUUAAUCGAGCGUUAAGAAAUAGGUGUAUUCUUGUCAUGUGCUUUAGUUGUAGUGUUUCUGUUCCCCACCUCUCCUUGUGAGAGUUUGCAUUACAUGUCAUUAGAUAAGCAUUCAUGUAUUUGUAAUUGACUUGUAGAACACCUAGACGAGGUGGUAUUUGAAGAAGUCUACUCCAAUGCCUGCUCCUCAAGUGGAUGAAGCCAUCUAACUGGGUAUUGGAUAGAGGGAUCUAGAACCACUUCACUGCAACAAAGGCAAGCCCCGGUGCAUGCAACCCCUUCCUUGUGUUUUUAAAUUAUUUUUACACACUUUAAGUCUAGUGAAUGUGCAUUAGGUUUAUAGGAGUUGCUUGGAAACCCUUUGAUGCAUUGCCUUCCUUGAUAUCCAUACCUUUAUAGAUACUUCUGGUGAAGUAUCAAAAUAUGAUUUAUAAAAAUGCUUAGCCCUGCUUAGAUCUUGUGGAUAGAGGUUGUCUUUUGCAUUAAGGCCUAGCUCAGGGGUUAUCCUGAGGAAAGAUGGCUUCUACCUGCAAGAAUAUUUUCAUUAAGAGCGUGGUGGGAUCUUACUACAAAGUUCCCUUUGAUGCUCUUUUCAUCCUAAGGAAUACAAACAAUCCUAAGGGUGGAAGUACUUAAAUCGGGACUUGGGCUAGGAACAGGUGAUGCUCCGCCUAGGUUAAUUAAGGAUUGGAUGCGUAUGUAGGCCUGUUGAUCAAGGACUAUCUUAACUAGCCACAUGCCCUGGAAAUGGGACAGGGUAAGCUUGAACCCGGCUAUUCCAUACGUGAAAAGACAACCGCGCACUGGGCGUGGGAGAUGGUGGGAGUAGCGUGUACCCUCCUGGCUAGAGGCUGGAUGGAGGAGUACUGUGCUCCCGGGUAGCGUGGACCGGUUCACGUUGUGGAGGAUCUGUGGGAACGGUUGACAUAUGCAAGGGUUAAGUGCUACAUAUGUCGUGUGGUUAGAGAUCCUCAGCUGAGUAAAUCGAUUCGGAUCGCCGUUAUAUCCCCGGAGAGUGGAGACUUGAUCUCCGACCAGCAACCUAAGUCAGGAUGUGAACCUCAUGAAUAAAAAUGAUGUUGUAUUGAUGAGAUGGUGAAAUUAGACUAGAUGCAAACAGAGUCUAUUAAUAUUUAAUCUGGCGUUAAAAUAUUGAAAGUAAGGACUCACUUUAGUAAGCUAUUUCUGCAAAAGUAUCUAAGUUGAUUCUUGCUAAUGCCUCUCCUUGGUUCCCAAAUCCAGCAUAUCCUUGAGAGUCUUUUCUUUAGUCGGGUAAGUCUUGCUGAGUAAUUCCAUACUCAGGGUUUUAUUCCCUGUUGUUUUUCAGGAUAUAACUUUGUGCUGAUGUGAUGGUGUUAAGUGCCGGUGGGCUCGGCCUUCUUAUAUAAGUAUACCCCGUCUUUAUCUUCUUACUGAGGAUGGUCAUUUGAGCUAGCAUAUAUUUCAAACUUAUACUCUUGUAAUCACUCCGAUAAAAUAUUGUAAAAUUUUUGUAACCUGUAAAAUUUGGUAAUAAAAUUUCCGCUGCU